rnacentral:rRNA from 1 species
CACGUAGGGUGCAAGCGUUGUCCGGAAUUAUUGGGCGUAAAGGGCUCGUAGGCGGUCCGUCACGUCGGGAGUGAAAACUCGGGGCUCAACCCCGAGCCUGCUUCCGAUACGGGCGGACUAGAGGUAGGUAGGGGAGAACGGAAUUCCUGGUGUAGCGGUGGAAUGCGCAGAUAUCGGGAGGAACACCAGUAGCGAAGGCGGCUCGCUGGGCCAUUCCUGACGCUGAGACGCGAAAGCUAGGGGAGCGAACAGG